GACGAACGCUGGCGGCGUGCUUAACACAUGCAAGUCGAACGGAAAGGCCCUGCUUUUGUGGGGUUCUCGAGUGGCGAACGGGUGAGUAACACGUGAGUAACCUGCCCUUGACUUUGGGAUAACUUCAGGAAACUGGGGCUAAUACCGGAUAGGAGCUCCUGCUGCAUGGUGGGGGUUGGAAAGUUUCGGCGGUUGGGGAUGGACUCGCGGCUUAUCAGCUUGUUGGUGGGGUAGUGGCUUACCAAGGCUUUGACGGGUAGCCGGCCUGUGAGGGUGACCGGCCACAUUGGGACUGCGAUACGGCCCAGAGUCCUACGGGAGGCAGCAGUGGGGAAUAUUGCACAAUGGGCGGAAGCCUGAUGCAGCAACGCCGCGUGCGGGAUGACGGCCUUCGGGUUGUAAACCGCUUUCGCCUGUGACGAAGCGUGAGUGACGGUAAUGGGUAAAGAAGCACCGGCUAACUACGUG
rnacentral:rRNA from 1 species